rnacentral:lncRNA from 12 species
AUGUACUCUUUGGAAAGCAACCACUAUGCAGAGCCCACAAUGAAAGAGUGGGGAAUUAGAUUAUUUGGAACUCUUCUGCAUGGGCGAUUCCCUGAGACUGAGGUUGGUUCUACAUCAGGAAAGCAACUGGAGCCAGGCUGUUGGAACUGCAAUGUAGUCUUCAUGUUCACUGUCCUCCGGUUUGACGGCCGGGGAUCGCUUCUGGCCCCUCCGCCCGUGGGGACCGGUCCGGACGCGUCCAGCCUCGCGACCGCAGGAGGUCUUUCCUGCCGAGGAGUUCGCGCCAGGCGCACAGCCGCUCCCGGAAGAGCCGAGUCAAAACUUCCAGAGACAAAACCCUGCGUGGAAGGCACUCGAGGUUUCUAUCCUGCUCUUACGCUUCAGUCUCCGCAGGGCGGAGCGCUUCCCCGGAGGAAAACGCGCCUCUUUCUCCCCGGGGUCCGGCCCCAGGCCCGUGUCGUGACGUCAUCCACACUUUACAGGUCAUGAGAUUAACCCGCGAGGGCAGGAGGGAACGCAAGACCCGCACACGCGAGGCGGCGCCACCUGGGCAGCCGCACGGGGCAGGCGGAGCCCGGCCGCCGGCAGGUGGAGCCGCCCUACCUGCGUCUGGACCGCGGGGCUGCAGGAAGGGCAGAGGGCGCCACCAGGCCUGAACCCGUCUCGUCUGUCCCCAGAAACCGAUUUGCUUUGGGAUUUUGCACUAAGAGCCCUGUGCACGCCAAGGCCCCUGUGUCACGGGGCCAGAUGUCAAAAACUAAGACGCGAAUUUCAGCUUUCUUGGGACUCCCUGAGCUCAGAGGUGGAGAUCCAUCCUGUCAGGGAGGAGCGCUGUCGGGGCCAGCGAGUGUGGGGUUCCAUGGUGUAAUGGUUAGCACUCUGGACUCUGAAUCCAGCGAUCCGAGUUCAAAUCUCGGUGGAACCUGACUGUUCUCCUUUUCAAGUUUCCUUUUUUACGGGGAGUUGGCAGUGGACCUCCAGUUCACGUGAACCCAGAGUGUGAUCUUGAAGGGGAAGAUGACACCGUGUGGACCUGGACACUGACUCGCUGCCCUAUUGUUCAGACAGAGUAGAGGACCAUCCUCCCUCCUUCUCCCUGUUUUCCUCUCCCACCUAACAGAUAUUCUGUGACACACAAUUUUGAGUUGAGUUGAACGUUUUCUGAGUUAUUGCUUUAUAAAAUGUAAUGAGCUCACUUGGUGCAAAAGGAUGCAACAGAAUUGAAGGAGAAGAAAGAUUCUUAUGAAUACAAUAUUUGCCCAGAGAAAAUCUGACUUCAUAAUGUCUAUUAGGUACAAUGACCUGAAUUUACACAUCUUUCACUUUCCACUGAGAAACACAGAUUUGGGAAAAAUCUAUUCAUCUAUUAAAUAAAAAAUUUCUUGGACUGUCUCA